rnacentral:rRNA from 1 species
UUAAGCGACUAAGCGUACACGGUGGAUGCCCUGGCAGUCAGAGGCGAUGAAGGACGUGCUAAUCUGCGAUAAGCGUCGGUAAGGUGAUAUGAACCGUUAUAACCGGCGAUUUCCGAAUGGGGAAACCCAGUGUGAUUCGUCACACUAUCAUUAACUGAAUCCAUAGGUUAAUGAGGCGAACCGGGGGAACUGAAACAUCUAAGUACCCCGAGGAAAAGAAAUCAACCGAGAUUCCCCCAGUAGCGGCGAGCGAACGGGGAGCAGCCCAGAGCCUGAAUCAGUGUGUGUGUUAGUGGAAGCGUCUGGAAAGGCGCGCGAUACAGGGUGACAGCCCCGUACACAAAAAUGCACAUACUGUGAGCUCGAUGAGUAGGGCGGGACACGUGGUAUCCUGUCUGAAUAUGGGGGGACCAUCCUCCAAGGCUAAAUACUCCUGACUGACCGAUAGUGAACCAGUACCGUGAGGGAAAGGCGAAAAGAACCCCGGCGAGGGGAGUGAAAAAGAACCUGAAACCGUGUACGUACAAGCAGUGGGAGCACAGAGCAAUCUGUGUGACUGCGUACCUUUUGUAUAAUGGGUCAGCGACUUAUAUUCUGUAGCAAGGUUAACCGAAUAGGGGAGCCGAAGGGAAACCGAGUCUUAACUGGGCGUUAAGUUGCAGGGUAUAGACCCGAAACCCGGUGAUCUAGCCAUGGGCAGGUUGAAGGUUGGGUAACACUAACUGGAGGACCGAACCGACUAAUGUUGAAAAAUUAGCGGAUGACUUGUGGCUGGGGGUGAAAGGCCAAUCAAACCGGGAGAUAGCUGGUUCUCCCCGAAAGCUAUUUAGGUAGCGCCUCGUGAAUUCAUCUCCGGGGGUAGAGCACUGUUUCGGCAAGGGGGUCAUCCCGACUUACCAACCCGAUGCAAACUGCGAAUACCGGAGAAUGUUAUCACGGGAGACACACGGCGGGUGCUAACGUCCGUCGUGAAGAGGGAAACAACCCAGACCGCCAGCUAAGGUCCCAAAGUCAUGGUUAAGUGGGAAACGAUGUGGGAAGGCCCAGACAGCCAGGAUGUUGGCUUAGAAGCAGCCAUCAUUUAAAGAAAGCGUAAUAGCUCACUGGUCGAGUCGGCCUGCGCGGAAGAUGUAACGGGGCUAAACCAUGCACCGAAGCUGCGGCAGCGACGCUGAUGCGUUGUUGGGUAGGGGAGCGUUCUGUAAGCCUGUGAAGGUGUGCUGUGAGGCAUGCUGGAGGUAUCAGAAGUGCGAAUGCUGACAUAAGUAACGAUAAAGCGGGUGAAAAGCCCGCUCGCCGGAAGACCAAGGGUUCCUGUCCAACGUUAAUCGGGGCAGGGUGAGUCGACCCCUAAGGCGAGGCCGAAAGGCGUAGUCGAUGGGAAACAGGUUAAUAUUCCUGUACUUGGUGUUACUGCGAAGGGGGGACGGAGAAGGCUAUGUUGGCCGGGCGACGGUUGUCCCGGUUUAAGCGUGUAGGCUGGUUUUCCAGGCAAAUCCGGAAAAUCAAGGCUGAGGCGUGAUGACGAGGCACUACGGUGCUGAAGCAACAAAUGCCCUGCUUCCAGGAAAAGCCUCUAAGCAUCAGGUAACAUCAAAUCGUACCCCAAACCGACACAGGUGGUCAGGUAGAGAAUACCAAGGCGCUUGAGAGAACUCGGGUGAAGGAACUAGGCAAAAUGGUGCCGUAACUUCGGGAGAAGGCACGCUGAUAUGUAGGUGAAGUCCCUCGCGGAUGGAGCUGAAAUCAGUCGAAGAUACCAGCUGGCUGCAACUGUUUAUUAAAAACACAGCACUGUGCAAACACGAAAGUGGACGUAUACGGUGUGACGCCUGCCCGGUGCCGGAAGGUUAAUUGAUGGGGUCAGCGCAAGCGAAGCUCUUGAUCGAAGCCCCGGUAAACGGCGGCCGUAACUAUAACGGUCCUAAGGUAGCGAAAUUCCUUGUCGGGUAAGUUCCGACCUGCACGAAUGGCGUAAUGAUGGCCAGGCUGUCUCCACCCGAGACUCAGUGAAAUUGAACUCGCUGUGAAGAUGCAGUGUACCCGCGGCAAGACGGAAAGACCCCGUGAACCUUUACUAUAGCUUGACACUGAACAUUGAGCCUUGAUGUGUAGGAUAGGUGGGAGGCUUUGAAGUGUGGACGCCAGUCUGCAUGGAGCCG